GGCGUGUACUGCUUGGCUGGGCCUUACUUCUUGGUGAGCCGGCGUGCCCUUUAUUGGUGUGCGUCGGGGAACCAGGACUUUUACCUUGAGAAAAUUAGAGUGUUCAAAGCAGGCCUAUGCCUGAAUACAUUAGCAUGGAAUAAUAGAAUAGGACGUGCGGUUCUAUUUUGUUGGUUUCUAGAGUCGCCGUAAUGAUUAAUAGGGACAGUUGGGGGCAUUGGUAUUGAGUCGCUAGAGGUGAAAUUCUUGGAUUGACUCAAGACCGACUAUUGCGAAAGCAUUUGCCAAGGAUGUUUUCAUUAAUCAAGAACGAAGGUUAGGGGAUCGAAAACGAUCAGAUACCGUUGUAGUCUUAACAGUAAACUAUGCCGACUAGGGAUCGGAUGACCUCAAAAUUGAUGUGUCAUUCGGCACCUUACGAGAAAUCAAAGUCUUUGGGUUCUGGGGGGAGUAUGGACGCAAGGCUGAAACUUAAAGGAAUUGACGGAAGGGCACCACCAGGUGUGGAGCCUGCGGCUUAAUUUGACUCAACACGGGGAAACUCACCAGGUCCAGACAUAACUAGGAUUGACAGAUUGAUAGCUCUUUCAUGAUUUUAUGGGUGGUGGUGCAUGGCCGUUCUUAGUUGGUGGAGUGAUUUGUCUGGUUAAUUCCGAUAACGAACGAGACCUUAACCUGCUAAAUAGCCAGGCCGGCUUCGGCUGGUCUCUGGCUUCUUAGAGGGACUGUCAG
rnacentral:rRNA from 1 species